AAAUGUUCCCAUGUGUCACUAUUUUAUUUAUUCUCUCUCUCUUUCCCUCUCUCUGUAUUUCUUUGUAGCUGGUUUGUGACAAUUCAGAUAUGCGUUGUGAGCUUCCAAAUCUGGAGAAGAAUCUUUGGUCCACCGCUGAGUGACUUAAGACCCUGGUGACAAAGAGGUUGUUACCAGCAGGAAGUGGACCGCAUCGAAGAUGCCAUGUGGACCAAGAAAGCUCUGAGGCGCCCUCAUGCUGCAGAGAACGCCAAACCAGUACAACAGAAGCAGCUGCCAGUGUGUUCUCUGAUCACCUCAUUCUACACGUGUCAGUGAGCUGACAGCACCUACAGUACAGUAAUGUUCUGUUCCAGAGGUUCAUCAUCGAACAGACCGCCACACAUUUAAACUCACCUUUAUAUUUAUUAACACGUUCAUUUUGGUUGGAAUAUUAGAGUUGUAUUGAAGUGUUAUUAGCCAGCUUUUGGAGUGGCUGUUUUGUUGCAUAUUGAACAGUGUCCACAGCACUGGCAGUAUACCACAAACUCAAGAUUAGACAUUGCUAAACCGGUUGAAGGAUGGAUGGCUGUUGCCUGAUUUAAGCCCUUCUUCUAAUAACCUUUUUCCUUACCGACAUAUACCUGUCCCAUAUAUCUGCAUACAGCUCCGGAAAAGAAUUCAGAGACAACUGCACCUUUUCCUUUCCAAAAAGUUUAAAAGGAAGGUAUUGAGUGAGGUAAAAUAAAGAGGCCACUGCAAAUUGAACCCUACUGUUCCUCACUCAAAACUUUCCUUUUCAACUUUUUUGGAAAGGAAAGAAAAAGGUGCAGUGGUCUCUUCAUUUUUUUUACGGAGCUGUAUAUCUGCAGCCACAUACUUUCCCUCCCUCUGCCUUCAUAUCACCACUAACGUACUCCAGUAACCCCAGUCCUACAGUAUAACUGAGCCCCUCACUGCUGUGAGAUGUUUUGGAGUAGUGUGUACUCCUGUGUUUAGACCUCAUAGUAGUGUGUACUCCUGUGUUUAAACCUCAUAGUAGUGUGUACUCCUGUGCUUAGACCUCAUAGUAGUGUGUACUUCUGUGUUUAGACCUCAUAGUAGUGUGUACUUCUGUGUUUAGACCUCAUAAUAGUGUGUACUCCAGGGUUUAAACCUCAUAGUAGUGUGUACUCCUGUGUUUAGACCACAUAGUAGUGUGUACUCCUGUGUUUAGACCACAUAGUAGUGUGUACUCCUGUGUUUAGACCACAUAGUAGUGUGUACUCCUGUGUUUAGACCACAUGGUAGUGUGUACUCCUGUGUUUAGACCACAUGGUAGUGUGUACUCCUGUGUUUAGACCACAUGGUAGUGUG
ensembl:lncRNA